rnacentral:lncRNA from 1 species
AACUCUCAGCCCAGCGGCGGUUUCCAGGACCUCAGACUUUUUGCCGAGGCGGCAGUCCCUAGACGAAGCGAAGGAGGCGGCGCCUGCCCCGCCCACAAGAGCUGCCGCGCGCGGGUGUUAUAGCUCCACCCCAUCUGCAAAGGAAGGGGGAGCGGAAAGAGCGGGAUCUAGCGUGGGAUAAAAGUGGGACUACUACAGUGUAACUGGGCAUGCGCCCCUCCUAGAAAUGAUGGGAAUGCAAAAGCCCUUGACUGCUCCAGGACUCGAGGGAUCCUCGGUGCCAGGAUGCUGGGUCAAGCGCUCCGCCGGGACAGAGGACUCAUACCAGGGAAAUGGAGCCCAGCCUCGUGAUAAACUACGACCCAAGCUGGGGGAGGAACCUAGUUUUCGAAAGGAAAAUAAUAUGCGCAAGCUUUAACUGAGCAGUGGGAUGGUCUUAAAUACCAAAGGAAUGACUUUAAAUCUUGCUGGAUGGGACUGC